CCUACGGGAGGCAGCAGUGAGGAAUAUUGGUCAAUGGACGAGAGUCUGAACCAGCCAAGUAGCGUGAAGGAUGACUGCCCUAUGGGUUGUAAACUUCUUUUAUAUGGGAAUAAAAUGUUCCACGUGUGGGAUUUUGUAUGUACCAUAUGAAUAAGGAUCGCCUAACUCCGUGCCAGCAGCCGCGGUAAUACGGAGGAUCCGAGCGUUAUCCGGAUUUAUUGGGUUUAAAGGGAGCGUAGGUGGAUUGUUAAGUCAGUUGUGAAAGUUUGCGGCUCAACCGUAAAAUUGCAGUUGAAACUGGCAGUCUUGAGUACAGUAGAGGUGGGCGGAAUUCGUGGUGUAGUGGUGAAAUGCUUAGAUAUCACGAAGAACUCCGAUUGCGAAGGCAGUUCACUGGACUGCAACUGACACUGAGGCUCGAAAGUGUGGGUAUCAAACAGGAUUAGAUACCCCUGUAGUC
rnacentral:rRNA from 1 species